AUAUUAAUAGCAGUUGAAAUAGAAUUUAAGGUGAGAAGCAAAUUGUGUAAUUAUCAGAUUUCAAUAUAAAGGAGAUAUAAUGACCAAUCUUUAUGCACCAAAGCACACAGUUGCUAAAUAUGUGUAAUACAAUUAAAACAGAAACAAGAGGACCUUGGUAAAAUAGUGAUAGUGGCAGACUUUUCUCAUAAGUGGAUAAAUCUAGUAGACAAUAAAGACAUAUACAAAAAUUACAGUCAAUAUAAUUGAUUUAAUAGAUGUUUAUGCUCCUUAAGAGAAUAUACAUUUAUUGCUAUGGUUCAGGAAUAUUUGUAAAAAUUGAACAUGUACUUAGCCACAAAGAAAAUUAUUUUUUAUUAGCCGGGCAAGGUGGCAUUUGGGAGCCCGAGGCUGGUCUCGAACUCCUGGCCUCAAGUGAUCUGCCUGCCUCAGCCUCCCAAAGUGCUGGGAUUACAGGCAUGAGCCACUGUGCCUGGCCAAGAAAGGCUCUUAAACAUAUAAAAAGUUGCAUAACUUCACAGUAAAAGAAAAGCAAAUGAAAACCACACUGAGUGACAGAUAAAUGCAGUAAGUUAAUCUUGAUUGGAUCCUGGACUGGAAGAGAUGCAAUAUUUUGGGUAAAUUAGGGGAAAUUUUAGUAUAGACUAAUAUAUUCAGGGGUCAGUGAUCUUUUUCUGAAAGAGCCAGAUAAUAAAUACUUUGGAUUUUGCAGACCUUAUGGUCUUUGAUUUAUCUACUGACCUGUUACAGCACAGAAGCAGAUGUAGAUAAUACCCAAGUAAUGAGUGUGGCUGUGUUUCAAUUAAACUUAAUAAAAACUGGCAGUGGGCCAUACUUGGUCAUUCAUGCAUUAGAUGAUAUUAGUAAACUGAUGUUAAAUAUCUUGUGUGUUCAGAGAUAGUGAGAUUGUGGUUAUAUAGGAGAAAACAUCUAAAGUAGGUAGGGGUAAAAUAUUGUGAUUGAUGUCUCCCUCCAAAAAAAUUGUACAAGUAUAUGCAAAAAAAUAAAAAGCCAGGCAAAGUGGUAGGUGCUUAUAGUUCCAGCUACUCCGGAGGCUGAGGCAGGAGCAUUACUUGAGCCCAGAGGUUUGCUUUAAAAAAAAAAAAAAA
rnacentral:lncRNA from 1 species